GGGGAUUUAGCUCAGCGGCAUAAGCACCUGCCUGGCAAGCAAGAGGUUGUGAGCUCAAUCCCCG
rnacentral:tRNA from 1 species